rnacentral:rRNA from 1 species
UCGUCGCUAGUAUUUUUCUCUAGCGAUACUGCCCGUAUAACGUGGAGGAAGUGGGAUGACGUCAAGUCAGCAUGGCCCUUACAUCCUGGGCUACACACACGCUACAAUGGGUGAUACAACAGGUUGCAAUAGAGUAAUCUGGAGCCUAAUCCCCAAAAUCAUCCUCAGUACGGAUUGCAGGCUGCAACUGCCUGCAUGAAGUUGGAGUUGCUAGUAAACGCAGGUCAGCACACUGCGUUGAAUACGUUCUCGGGCCUU